GGCGAGCCGAAAUAGGCCGAGCGCCUUCUAAGCGCUUGGCCGCAGGUUCGAGUCCUGCCGGGGGCGCCACCA
rnacentral:tRNA from 1 species